UCACUUACCUGGACGGGGUCAAUGGGUGAUCAAGAAGGUUCAUGGCCUAGGUUGGUGACCUCCAUUGCACUCAGGAGGGGUGCCCGCCUAAGGUCGGCCCAAGUGGUCGAGCCUACGUCAUAAUUUGUGGCAGUGGAGGCCUGCGUUCGCGCGGCCUCCGC
rnacentral:snRNA from 1 species